rnacentral:rRNA from 1 species
UACGUAGGGUGCGAGCGUUGUCCGGAAUUAUUGGGCGUAAAGAGCUCGUAGGCGGUGUGUCGCGUCGGCCGUGAAAACCUGCAGCUUAACUGUGGGCUUGCGGUCGAUACGGGCAUCACUGGAGUUCGGCAGGGGAGACUGGAAUUCCUGGUGUAGCGGUGAAAUGCGCAGAUAAUCAGGAGGAACACCGGUGGCGAAGGCGGGUCUCUGGGCCGAUGACUGACGCUGAGGAGCGAAAGCGUGGGGAGCGAACAGG